GGUGCUCCGACGGGAGCCUCACCCCCACCCUCCCCCUUGACCCGCCUCUAAGAAGCGGCACGCUUGUGUAAAGCCCAUUGCGGGACUGACUCGUAGUGGCUGUAAUUCUGCACCAAGCCUGAAUUUCUUGAACGUCUUCCAGUACUGUAUUAGGGGCCCACUAACGGCUACAUAAAACCAUCAAUAAAGUAGCAUGCGAACUUUAAGAGAAACCUUAAAACAUAACUAGUUCGGCAUUCUCUUAUUCUAUUUUAUUUAUUUAUUUAUAUUGUAUUGUUAAGCACCACACAAUCUCCAGGGGCUGCUGGAGACCAUAUAGGCGGGGGAGGAUCACCCCUUAGACGGGGGGGUGCUGACUGAGUGAGAGACUGCGUACAAAGAAGUUUAUCAUGAUGAUUGAGUUGUGUUUUUCGAUUCGUUAAUUUAACUGACAAGUCGUUUGUUUGCCAUAUCUUUCUCGUUUUGUUUCCAUGUUAAUGAGAUUUGGUCAAUUCAAUUAAUAAAAGAGUUCUAUUCAAUCGUUGUCGGUUAUUUUCAUAUGAAAAUUAUACUUUGAUUUCAGUCCAUGGUUAAGGUUCCAGAUGUUCAGUCUGCUCUCACGUCAAUCACCAAAGGUCCACAGCAACACGUUCGGUCCACCCACAUUGUGUCAACAGGCACGCGACAGAAAUGGCCGAAAACGGAUUCCGGAUUUCAUGAUGAACCCGUUAAUUAAAUGGAGCAGAAUUUAACCGUUGAAAUGCACAUUAGCCUACUAGUAGCUGUUGGUUUGAUGGUCAUGCGGCAUGCCCUUGCUUUGCCUUUGAAUACGAACCAUGUCGGUGGUCGAUUCUCUUAUGAAGAUAUUUAGUUAAUCUGGCUGUCAUAACUGGGUAACAGGGGGAGCGUUCACCGACUGGGUGACCGACUCUUCCUCCGCCCCGCCUACUCCAAGUGGGAGAUUAGCAGCGGUGCUGAAUAAAUAGGGCACAGGUUUCACGGGAGGCACUCUCCUAUCUUGCUGGGACCACUCGUGGGGAUUUCUUGUCUCUUGUCCCUCGUCCCUCCUGCACCGUGUUGCAGAACGUUACAGGUAUGCGCUCUGAUUCCUCUACUAACGCUGUUGGUUCUCUGAGUUGGAGAAGUUAGAAUGUUCUGUUUAUCUUCUAGCCGGUGGCGUACUGCUCUUCCGGGAUUGUAACACAGCCGUGUAGUUGUUGGCUCCUCAACAUUGUGAGCGUGUACUUGUUGACCUCGCAUUCAGUAUUCGGACGCGGUGGUCCUCUGUCUGGGUCCUGGCUCUCUGUCUUCCGGCUCUCUAUCUCUAUCAGCUAUACGGGUCUGUGGCGUUUCGUGGGGUUGCUGUUCUGUUCCCCUUGCCUGUGCGGCCCAAUAUCCCAGCUGUCGUGAGCUUCUCUCCUCGUCUCCCCGGCCUGCUCGUCCAAUCUCUGCUAGCUGUCAAGUUGGACUACUUGCUCGAGGCUUCUGCUCGGGGUGCCUGCGUGUGUAUUUGAAUGCUAGUGCAUGUCGUGGUGUUUGGGUGCUUCUCGUUGUUUUGUCGUUUUGUUUGUAUGUUUGUAUGCUAGAAUAAGCGUUGGUGGCUCUGUCGCUUGCUGGCUUCCUCCCCUGCUUGUGGCUGCAUGUAUCCCGCUCUAGUUGUGUACUUCCCUUUUUCUUUUCUUUUUUUUUUUUACAUUUUUUAAUUUAGUUUGGUUAAGUUUAUAUCUUAUGAUUUGCAGUGAAAAGCAUGUUUUGUUUUUGCACAGGGAUUUAUCACCAAGGAAGUAGGGCAUUCGUCGGGGUAAGCAAGGUAGCUUGAAUAGGAAGUCACCUUGCAUACUUGUGGAUCCAUGAAUUGCUAAACUCUGUGUAUUUGAAGAUAGACAAAUAAAUUAUCUUUUGUAUCAGAUAAA